AUAAUUAGACAAACAUAGAUCCAAGGUUAUUAGGGUUGCAUGUACACUUAGGAAGUGUUAGAAUGCUCAAAACCCAUCAGUGGUAUCAGAGCCUAGGCUUGUUUGUUUGUUAUUUGUGCUUAAAAGUUGAAGAAAGUCGAAAAUUCUGCUGUCUGACUGAUGGACUCGGCGAGUCCAUGGGGAGGACUCGUCGAGUUCAUGUGUAUCUUCAACCUACUCGGCGAGUAGGUUUAUGCACUCGGCGAGUAGGGUCGACAGAGUGCAGAAUUUCGACUUGAGUUGCUGGAAAUGGAUUAGAAUCAUUACCCUAAAAUGUUUUGGUACUUGAAAACUUAUUUUAGAAGGUGUAAUGUCUUUUCUAACUCAUUUACAACAACUAGUUAUCAAAAUUACAAAGAUUAAAUGUGAUUUUGAUUCUUGAAAGUGUUCAUAUUCAUAUUCUUGUUCUUAUGAUGUUUAGAUGAUCAUAGGAAUUAUUUGUAACCUAUGUGGUAGAUUAAUUCAUGAUCAUAAUGUGUUUUAAUGGAGUCCAUAACUUGUCCUCAAGUUAUGGAAAACCAAAAGUCUCUUGGAUUAAAAACCAUUAAAAGAACACAAGAGUUAGGAAAAAUGAAAAGUCCUCAUUUUAUUACUCUAUUAAACUCAUAAGUUACAAGAAAUGAAAAGUUUUGAAAGUUUACAAAACUUGCCCUCAAGUUUUGGAACAAGUAAAGUUAAGUUAAAACUUUAGUUCCAACCCCUAGAAUUUUAAAAGUUAAAAUUCAACCCUUAUACUUAUAUUAUUAUGAUUUAAUAAUUAUAUAUAUAUGUAUAAGAACAAAGUCGUCUUACCGCUAGUACGCCUCAUUCACGAAGCCGGUCUAUAAGGUGGGUAUAAGGUUGUUGCCUAUAAAAUGGUGACUUAAUGGGUGUCCACUCUCACCCACCGCUUGCUUGAUCGGUGGAGGGUCGUUAGCCGAACGGGUAAGACAAGGACUUAUUAAUUCUCAUUCAAAGUAUGAUGAAUAUUAUAAAGUAACUAAAUGUUUUAUUAAAUUCCCAAUCUUAGUUACUUUAGGAAAAAUGUGAAUAAGGUGCUAUUCCAUGAAAUUACACUUUACACUUUGAUUAAGUCGUUGGUGGAGCGUGUGUGGUUAACCGGCACACUAACUUGGACUUAACAAGGUAGGUAAAGGGUGACUUAGGGUUUAUUAUAGUAUCGAUGGAGCGUGUGUGGUUAACCGGCACAUCGAUUGAGUGAUAAACUUUAAGGGUACCAAGUGAUUUGCAUGGUUACUUCACACCUCGUUUUGUGAUCCUCGGUAUCCCAGUCACAAAACUUGGAGGGCACACUCGAGAUUGAAACAUGCCUUUGAAAAGUUCAUUGAAUCUCAAAGAAUCUAGGAAUUUCUAAGAACCAUUCAAAAACCUAAUACUAAAAUAUUGCGGUUUUCGUGGUGGAAAUUGGUGAAUCGUCAUUCACCUACCUUUCAAAUAUGAUAUAGCUUAGAUUACGGCAUACCUCUUCUAAGUUAUAUUAUAUUGUGAUUGGAUCCUAGCCUUAAUAUUACAUUUGGGUGUUUUAUUAAGGACUCUCUUAUAUCUAAACUAAUCUUGUCCUCUUUCCUUCAGAUGUCUUUCAACAAUGCUUCUGGCUCUAAUCCUAAUGGCUCCUUUACCCUUAUGAACUUGUGUGGGAAAGUCACCUUUGAUGGAUCCAACUUCAAUGAGUGGAUCAGAAACAUCAGGAUGAUUACCCGCUACGAGGACAAAGAAUAUGUCCUUGACAAGGAGCUUAAGGAGAUUGAUGAGUCCACUGCAACUCCUCAGGAGAUCGCUGAAUUUCGGGCACAUGAAAGGGAUGCUACGAAAGUGGCUUGCAUCAUGAUGGCCACGAUGACAGCGGAACUCCAAAAGUCUUAUGAGGAUUUCUACCCUUAUGACAUGCACCAAGAUUUGAUGGAAAGAUACCAUCAAAGUGCAAGACAAGAGAGGUAUGAAAUCAUCUGCUCCAUGAUAACAACCAUGAUGAAGGACGGGGAAUCCGUCACGAGCCACAUGCAGAAAAUGCAAAGGUAUGUGGAUCGUUUGCUGAAGCUUAAUGUGAACUUCCCGGAGGAUCUUGCAAUAGAUAUUAUUUUGCAUUCCUUACCAUCGUGCUAUGAUCAAUUCCGCAUGACAUAUCACAUGAACAAGGAAGAAGUCACCCUCAGCAAACUUCAGGGACUUCUCAAGACCGCAGAAACAGGUCUUAAGGGGAAGUCGGUUGCUAUCACUCCUACUCAAAACUCUACUCCGGUUUUGGCAAUCGGGAAAAGUCGAGGGAGGAAGAGAAAGAGCUCUUCUAAGGGUACCAAGGCUCGGACCCUUGAUGGCUCUUCUUCAAGUGGAACCAAGAAAGGUUUCGUUACUCCUUCUUCUGACCCAAAAGAGGCUGAAUGCUUCUAUUGCCAUGAAAAAGCUCAUUGGAAGCGGAACUGCCCAAAAUACCAGCAAGAUGUGAAGGAUGGGAAAGUUAAACCCAACCAUGCAGGUAUUUACACUAUCAUUUCUAAUAACUCACCCCAUUCUAAUUCUUGGGUCCUUGAUACCGGGUGUGGUAUUCACAUUUGUUGUGACUUGCAGGGACUAAGAAGAAGUGAGGAUGUGGAGCAAGGAAGGAUAAACUUGAUCAUGGGGAAUAGGAAAGCUAUACCUGUUACCAAGAUUGGAGUUUAUACUUUAUCGCUAAGUAGUGGGUUUAGUUUAGAUUUGAAUAAGUGUUGUUAUUCGCCAGGAAUGGCAAGAAAUAUUAUUUCCUUUCAUGCUUUGUACAAACAAGGGUUUACCUUUUCAUUUAAUAAUGAAGUUGGUUCUAUAGAUGUUUUCUAUAAUAAUGUCUUUUAUUUUAAAGCAUUACCUUGUGAUGGUGUGUAUGAAGCUGUAUCUGUUGUAGAUAACUUGGGAAAUAAUGUUUUGUGUAUUGAUUCUACUAAUAAUAACUUGGAUAAAGCAUCUUUAUGGCAUUGUCGUCUUGGACAUAUAAGCAAGAAACGCAUAGGCCAACUCCAAAAGGAUGGAGUCUUGGAGUCGUUUGACCUAAAGUCAGAUGAUAGUUGCGAAUCAUGCUUACUUGGAAAAAUGACAAAGUCACCCUUCACAGGUUCGUGUGAGAGGGGUGAAGGUUUGUUGGACCUUAUACACACGGAUGUGUGUGGACCAUUCAAACAUGCCACAAGGGAUGCUAAUCGUUAUUAUUUGACUUUUACUGAUGAUUAUAGUAGAUAUGGAUAUGUCUACUUGAUCAAGCAUAAGUCAGAGACUUUCGAGAGGUUUAAGGAAUUUAAACAGGAAGUCGAGAAUCAAUUGGGCAGGAACAUUAAGAUGCUUCGAUCCGAUCGUGGUGGUGAGUAUCUUAGUUCAGAGUUCCUCGACUAUCUAAGGGAAUGUGGGAUAGUCUCACAAUUGACACCUCCCAGGACACCACAGUUGAAUGGUGUGGCUGAGAGGCGUAAUCGAACCUUGUUAGAUAUGGUUCGUUCCAUGAUGAGUCGAGCUACGCUACCAAUCUCAUUCUGGGGGUAUGCCUUAGAGACUGCCGCCCAUAUUCUUAAUCUAGUCCCUACAAAGAAAGUUGCCAAAACUCCUCACGAGAUGUGGACUGGUAAAGUACCUAAACUAGACCACAUCAAGAUUUGGGGUUGCGAGGCUUUCGUGAGACGCGAGACUCAUGAUAAGCUCGAACCUCGAAGCGAGAGGUGUAUUUUCAUCGGUUACCCACAGCGAUCCUUUGGUUACCUCUUCUACAGACCUAGUGACAAUGUGGUCUUUGUAGCAAGAAGAGGAGUCUUUCGAGAAAGAGAGUUUAUAAGCCAAGGAGACAGUGGGAGGCAAAUUGAUCUUGAAGAAAUUCAAGAAUCAAGCGGUGAAGGAACUUCAAACUCUAGCCCUCAACUUGAGGAGGAAACUCCUGUUGAGCCAAUUGACAAAUCUGUACCUCUGAGACGUUCCACGAGAGUUAGGAGUGCACCUGAGCAUUACUAUGGAUUCCAUAUUACUGCAGAAGGUGAGACACUUAUUAGUGAUGAGACACUAGUAAGUCAAGAUGACCCUAACAGCUACGAGGAAGCCAUGGCAGGCCCCGAGUCUGCUAAAUGGAAAGAGGCUAUGGAUAGCGAGAUACAAUCCAUGUAUGACAAUCAAGUUUGGAACUUGGUUGAAAAUGUACCAGGUCGUAAGACAGUAGGGUGCAAAUGGGUCUUCAAGAAGAAGACCGACAUGGAUGGUAAAGUACACACUUAUAAGGCUAGACUGGUUGCAAAGGGCUUCUCUCAAAUUCCUGGAGUGGAUUAUGAUGAGACCUUUUCUCCGGUAGCCAAGAUUAAGUCUAUUCGGGUUCUGUUAGCCAUAGCUGCAUUUCAUGACUAUGAAAUAUGGCAGAUGGAUGUCAAAACCGCUUUCCUUAAUGGAAAGUUGGCUGAAGAUGUUUACAUGAGUCAGCCAGAGGGUUUUGUCAGCAACGAGUACCCUAAUAGAGUGUGUAAGCUUGAGAAAUCCAUUUAUGGAUUGAAGCAAGCACCUCGCAGAUGGAAUCUUUGCUUUGAUGAAAAGGUCAAGGAAUUUGGCUUUUCUAGGAGUGAAGAUGAAUCUUGUGUGUAUGUCAAGGCUAGUGGGAGUAUAGUUAGCUUUUUGGUAUUGUAUGUGGAUGACAUACUACUCAUAGGAAACGACAUUCCAACCCUGCAGGAAGUAAAGUCCUGGCUUGGGAAGUGUUUCGCUAUGAAGGACCUUGGUGAAGCUGCCUAUAUUCUAGGGAUAAGAAUCUUGAGAGAUCGGAGUAAAAGACUAAUUGGACUUAGUCAGAGUACCUACUUGGAUAAGGUGCUGAAGAGAUUCAGCAUGCAGGAUUCCAAGAAAGGAGAGUUACCCAUCCAGAGUAACACCAGAUUGAGUAAGACACAAAGCCCUAGCACUGAGGCUGAGAUAGCAGAAAUGAGUCGAACACCUUACGCUUCGGCUGUAGGAUCGAUCAUGUAUGCUAUGACGUGUACUCGACCCGAUGUAGCUUUUGCCUUGAGCAUGGUUAGCAGGUAUCAGGCGAACCCUGGCAAGGCACACUGGACUGCGGUAAAGAAUAUCCUCAAGUACCUACGGAGGACUAAGGACUGGGUCCUUACCCUCGGUGGGAGUGAUGACUUGAGAGUUGUAGGGUAUAGUGAUGCUAGCUUCCAGACUGAUAGGGAUAAUUUCCGCUCUCAGUCGGGCUGGGUCUUUACCCUAAACGGAGGAGCAAUUUCUUGGAAGAGUUCCAAGCAAGAGACAGUGGCAGAUUCUACUUGUGAAUCAGAGUAUAUUGCAGCUAGUGAAGCAGCAAAGGAGGCGAUAUGGCUGAAGAACUUCAUUGGAGACCUUGGAGUUGUACCAGCUAUUAAAGAGCCAAUGGAAAUUUUCUGUGAUAGUGAAAGUGCUGUUGCCUUAGCCAAGGAACCAAGGGAUCAUGGGAGAUCCAGACACAUCGACAGAAAAUACCAUUUCAUUAGACAUCGGAUCGAAGAAGGACUCCUCGUGGCAAAGAGGGUAUCAUCGGAUGAGAACCCAGCAGAUCCCCUCACGAAGGGACUGAGUAGGGUUAAGCAUCUCCAGCAUGCUCGGAGCAUAGGGCUGAAGGAUGAUAUAAGUUUUAGUAGUUAGAUAACCCAGAAAUUUGUAAAGUGUAAUUGACAUUUGAUGAUGAAUAAAAGGUGUUUUAUUUAUGAGUAAAGUGUUGCUAUCUCUUGUCGAUCGUUUACUAUAUUUCUUUUGCAUGUUUUGACUUCCAGAAUAAUUUUGUUUGGUAUAACAUAUUAUUCAAACCUCCACAGUCGGUCAUAUGUUGGAAGUAGAUAUGAAUCAAGACUGUCAUGUUUGGUUGUAGAGGUCUUGGACAAGGCUACAACAAUCAUGAGUGCUCAUAAGUUCUGAGCAUUGGACUCAACCCACGCUCACUGGAAUCACUUCAUGGAAUUCUAUCUCGAGUGAUCGUGAGACGGUAAUAUCAUAUAAGUCUUCAAACCUAGAGAUAUGAUUUGUUACUUACAAGUUGGUUAUGCAUUGACUGUACGAAACCGCAUUGGUAACUCGAUGUUAUAAAACGUACUUUUGUGUGUAAUUCAAUGAGUGGUAGAACAAACAUAUGAGUCGAAGUUUAUCUGUUCCUUCUUGGAUUAGAAGCUGAUAUCUGGGCCCCUCGAUGAUUUUGUUUUGACCCAUGUACCGGGCCCGGUCAGAACUAAGUUGAUGUGUUCAAUUAAGUUCUAUGUCAAACAAAUCGGAAAUCGGGAAACAAAUGCUGGACAAUAAGCAAGACAUGUUCCAUGUAUUUGUCCGGCUGAUAUCUAGAACAGAGGAUUAUAUGAUCACUUAUCUUAAAUGGCGUACCAUCAUCUUCUCAGUUCCGAGAGACCUUGAAAGAGCUACGAUUGCCGGUCGGUUCCUGAAGUACUAGAGAUAUAGUUAUUAGACUUAUCCAAGUGGGAGACUGUUGGAUAAGGUGUCUAAGUCCAUAACUAUUUCGGGCUUGUACUUGACCCGACCCGGCAUGGUCCAUUUGGGUUGCAUGGCACCAUGCAAUUGGAUAGACUAAAUGAGAGAAAUAACACUUGGAGAUUAUUAAUAUAUUAUAAGUUCUAAUAUAUUAAUAAUAUUAUUUAAUUAGUUGAUCAAAGAAUUAAUUUGGGAUUAAUUAAGUGAUCAACGGAUAACUAAUUAAAUACAUGGGUUGGUUAUGUAAAUCAUCCAUAUAUUGUAUAGUGGGCUAAGAGGCUCCAUGGAUUAUCAAGUUGGGUUCUACCCAUAGGAUGCUCCAUGGAUGCUCCAUGGGAGUUACAAACCCAUGGGUCAUGGAAAUGAAGAGUCAUGACACAUUAGGGUUUACAUGGUGUAACCCUAGAUGUGUCAACACUAUAUAAGAAUCAUAUUCUCCACCAAAAUCGGCUACACUAAGAAACUAGAGGGCUUGGCCGAUUUUGAGAAGUGUGUGUUAUCUCAAGAGUCUUUCCAAGAGCAUUUGGUGUUGUGUGAAGCAUUUGAGGCAUCACACUUGGGGUGCUAGGCUCACAAGGUUUCAAGGAACACAAGCAACAACAAGGUAAGUUAUUCUAUCUAUGAUUCAAGUUAAAAUUGUUCCCCAUGUAUGCUAGAUAGGAAUAUAACCUUGGAAUUCAACUUUGCAUGAUAAUUAGACAAACAUAGAUCCAAGGUUAUUAGGGUUGCAUGUACACUUAGGAAGUGUUAGAAUGCUCAAAACCCAUCAGGCUCAAGGACCUUCCGAAGGGCAACGAGCUGAGACAGUCAAUACCCCUACCAACCCUUCCAUCCCGACACCUAUUAGACCAUACCUAGGAAACCUUCCCCACUGCAGCAAGUGUAGCUACCAUCAUCAUGGUAUAUGUCG
rnacentral:lncRNA from 1 species